GAAGAUGGCAAAUAAAGAAUAAUUUCGAGGAAAGGAGGAUCGGUAAGGAUGUAAAGUUUUUCAAAGAAAACACCUCUACAUAUAUGGAAUGGAAGCCAAGAUUGCUUUUAUAUCGAUUGCCGCUCCCUCUUUCCCUUCCCCUUUCUCCCUUUCUUUUCCCCAUUUCUUCAUCUUCCGCUUCGUCUCGCCAAGUUUCUUGGGUUUCCUCUUUCGAUCGGCCUGCUCCAGCCGCAGUCCGCCGUUCACUUCUCCUCCAGGUCUGAAAUACACAAAGGGCUGUCGGAAUGAGCAUUCAAAGUACAAAUGAUCUACAUGAACGGAGAGCAAGAGUUGUUGAGAGAAGAACAAGAUUGGACAUUGACUUAAAUUGUCCACCCCCGGAUGAGUGCAUUGACCCAACUGGCCCUCACGACGAAGUGGCACAGUAUAAUAAUCAUCACCGAGAACAAGCUACGGACGCAGUUGAUGAGGACAUUGCUAUAAUCUCCCCUCGGAAAUUUGCUGAAGCCAGGAAGAAUUUUCGAAGAAACCACUUUGAGAGUAGCUAUGGUGUAGUCGUCAGACGUAAUGGCAGCACAGAAGUUUAUAGUGCUCUCACAGAUAGUAUGGCUACAUUACCAUUUCCCGGUAUUUUAUAAGAUGUAUCAAGUUGGCCCCCCUUUACAAUUUGGUCGCCCCGUACGAAUAGGAAUAGUGUAUCCAUACAGGAACAACAAACAACUCACAACUUGGACCUCCGCUUAAGCUGUGAAACCAGUAGUAGGGCCACUAAGGUAAAAACUGACAUUGUUAUUCCUUCUGCACCUGCACUAAAUAGUAGCAUCACACCUGCAGAUCGGAAGUUGCGGUGUGCGAUCUGCAUAGAACCAUUGGUCGAAGAAACGACGACAAAAUGCGGGCACAUUUUCUGCAGGAAUUGCAUUGAAAUAGCCAUUGCAACUCAACACAAAUGUCCCAUAUGUCGGCGUAAGCUUAGAAAACGAGAUAUUAUUCGGAUUUACCUUCCUUUUUCGAGUUAAAAAAAAAAAAAAUGAACACAACACAAGAAUAUUGCUUCUGUGUAUUAUGUAUUCUUUUUCUGACGACGACAACGACGACUAGAUUUGUACUUGCACACAGUUGCAUUAACAAAUAUAGAUUUCUUGAUUUCUUCU